ACGAGCAUAAAGGGAAAGCUCUGAUUUUAUUACCCAAUAAGGUCGUGUAACCCCCCCUAAAAUUUCCUGCCAAAAGUUUAAUUGGGCUCAGGAGGACUUAUUCCCUUUUUCUCCGGUGGGGGUUGAUAAAAAAAGUGGAAGAAGGUGGACUAGAUGGUGGAGCUGUCAAGCAAACAGUUGGUUUAAUUUAACUUUUUGUUAAGUUAAGAGUAAUUUGAAAAUGAAAAAAUAAAUUAGUUAUCAUUAGUUUUUGGGUUCUGUCCAAGGAUUUUAGUUUCCUUUAAGAGAAAUUUUCGGUUGUUUUUUUUUAUUGCUGAAAUCCCGUUCGAAAUCGGGGAGACGUUUGCUCGGAGAGGAAAACGAUCAACGGAGGAGUUCGGUCCACACGCACCCUGCCAGGAUCUGCGCCGGGGUCGAGCGCCCUCCGUUGGAUCUCAGCUCCCUGCCAGACAGUCGACACGUCCAACAUGGACUGUCCGGAGGUCCCUGAAGAGGACAUUGGCAGUUGUGACUUGACUUGUGCUACACCAAAAAAGCAAGACACAAUUUUUCCAGCCAGUUCUGGAAAAGGAAAGUCCAGAACAUUACUACAGACUGCACUGCAGAGGAAAGGCUGAGCAGUACCGUGGUACACUGGGACUGAGAGGACAGUAGCAUUCUCACCCGAAGCCAGUAAGGCACUAGCAGGCAUGUUGGAGUUUUAUGUGGGAUUUAGGCCCAUUCACACAUUCGCCAGGGAAGGAGAGAGUGACGAUCCAGAUGCAGCUUCAUUACAGGAUAUGAAAACUCUUAACCACAAUCAAAAAGGGGUCAGAACAAGAGGCUGGGAGGAGAAACCAAAAGGAACAAAGACUGACCUAAAACACACGGAAAGACCAGGGAAAAAAUGCAAUAAAGAACACAAACAGCAAGCCUCGAGUGCAAACUAUAAAGACGGCACUAACAGAGCUACAUAAACAUCUAUAAAGACACAAUGACUGACAUAGGAACAGGGCGUGAGCAGGCACUUAUAUACACAUGACGAGGUUUUGACAAGGGACAGCUAUGGGCUAUUACCAAUUACAAAUAGGUGACUUAGAACUGCAGGGAACAGGUGAGGGUUGUUAACAGGCACCAAGGACACAGGAACCAAACACUAGUAGAACAUAUGUGAAACAGGACAUAACUAGAUGCAAGCAAGGAUAAUUACAAACCAAGGCACAAAAACCAAAACACACAAAUACAAGAUAACAUGGUUAACAAGGGGCUCACAAAAACUGAAAAAACUUAGCUGCACACUCAGCCCAUUCAGGCACAUGUUGGCUCAGGGAGCAGGGUAACACACUGGGGAUAGUGAAAGUAUUAAACACAGGAUCGAACAGAAUGGCCAGAGACACCUGCUGGCCAAAUGGGGAAACAGCAAACUGGAUGGGAUGAGGCAG